CGAGAAUGUGACUUAAAAAAUUUGGACAGAUUAUAAUUUUAUACUUGAACUAGGAAAGUGAGAUUUGAACCUAUAUCAUUCAAGGUAUGUCAUAUAUUGACUGAAUAUCAUCCCACAGAAGCAGGAAGGGACGACGAAUCAGGUGUUAAUAAGUUCUGACGGCAUGCUGUGGUAUCAGGAUAUCUGCUAAAACUCUGAUGAUGUUAUCUCCCUUUCAUAUUAUAUUUCCUAAGAAACUAAAUGCAAAUAUUAUACUGAGUUAAUACGGCUACACUGUAAUAUAUGGCUCCGUGAAAAGUGAAAAGAAAGAACUUGUUUUAAGAUUAUUCUCGUGGUUGAUAUAUUAAGUUGAAAGUAAAGUAUUUUCGACUAACAUUCUAACCAGAGUCGCGAUCCAACCACAGAAUCUCUACGACGUUGCCUACUUGGAAAGAAA